GGUGUUACUUGGUGCACCCAACAUUUUUGUUGGAGCAUCCAAUACUUGUGGUGAAAUGGCAAAAAUGUCAUUCAUCCUAAUAAUAUAAAUACUCCUAUAUUUCUAUCAAUACAACUCGAAUCCUUCAUCUCUUCUUCCUACAGUCGCUUCUUCCUCUUUCUCUCACCAUUUACUUCUUCCUCUUUCUGUCACCGUUGGUGUUGGUGUUUGUUCCUCUUCCGCUCAUCCUUCGUCUUUCUCUGUGUUAGUGGUUGUUGCUGUUGGUGGUUGUUGGUCCUUCGUCUUCUUCAGUUCUUCUUCUUGUUCGUUGAAAAAUCUUCUUCGAGAUAAUGGUUAGAACUAGAGGCCUUGGUUAGGCUUUAGGCCAAGCAAUAGGAAAAGUCUUGGGGAGGAGAGAUGCAAGUGAUGAUGAUGCCCCCUAGCGGUGAAAGCCUACUGCAUCAGCCCGUAGACAGCGAUAACAAGAGCGUGUGGUCAAGGACCCUGCUACGGCCGCAGAGGAAUUGAAUGAAGAGCAGCCAGAAGCACCUGUUGAAGAAGUUGUUACUGAUGUUGAGGGUUUUUCAAGCGGAUCCCAUGACACAUCAAUUCUCAGAGAUUUUGAAAAUCACAUUGCUUUCAGAGUCUGGAAUGGAGAGGAACGUCCUAAGUUGAAGCUAUCUUCCCAUGAAGGAAGAUGGCUAAGUUCGGGAGGCCUGCUCCAGAGAUUAAAGGCCUUGCGGCGGUCAAUGGACUAAGUCCUUUGAUCGUCUAUUCCCUAGAUACGGGCGAUUGGAGACUAAUAUAUGCUUUUAUGGAACACUGGCAUAAGGAAACUAACAAUUUCCAUUUGCCCAUCGGAGAGGUGAUUAUCACCUUGGAUGACUUCAUGUCGUUAUUACAUCUGCUUGCUGUAGGGGUGUUCCACAGCUUCGAGCUACUUCAUGUCGAUGAUGUUAUCGAUACGUUGGUGGAAUUACUCAAGGUCAGCACUGUAGAGGCGAGAGCUGAGACGAUUCAGUGUCAUGGCUCUUAUGUUUGACUAUCGUGAUUGCAUGACGUGUAUGAGAUGAAGAUCGAGGCAUGUCACUAGAUCGUAGCAGUGCGAGCGUAUUUGUUGCAUCCUCUUGGAUGCACACUCUUUGCUAACAAGAGUGCCACACACGUGCAUGUUGUAUUCUUGGAUGCACUACGUGACUUGACACAGAGUGAGGGUUACACUUGGGGCGCUGCUGCACUUGUGCACAUGUAUGAUAAUUUAAAUGACGCAUCCAAGAGCACGGCGAGGCAGCUUGCAGGAUAUAUCACUCUAUUACAGUGUUGGAUCUACGAGCAUUUUCCGUCCGUUGGUUCCGCUGUUCCUGCCAAGGAUUAUGAUGAAAGGAGACCAUGUGCAUGUCGAUGGACCUCUGGCAAGACACUGCCCGUUUCCAUGUAUCGCAGGCAUAAGGAUAGACUGACCCCUGACGUGGUGUGCUGGAUUCCAUACGACAACCACCAUUCAUUUAGAGAAUUUGAGGUCAUCUCAUUAUUUUCUGGUCAUCUCAGAUGGGGCCCUUGACGAUCAUUCAUUGAUCGGAGAGGGUUGUACGACAGUUUGGCUACAUCCCGACUAUUUCGCCACAUCCUGUUGUGUUUUCACUCUCUGUUGAAGAAAUUGAUGAUAGAUGGAUGUAGUUUGGUGAGCACAUUGCACCUGUAGGGCAAUUAUGUGCAGUGCCUGGCCACUGUUCGCCAGAUUAUAUGGAUUGGUUUUACAUGAUCUCGCACUCAUUCAUGAGUCCAGCACAGCUAGAGGAUCCUCUUAGAGUUCCGCCAGUUUAGCAAUAUGAGGAAUUUGUUGAACCAGAUAUGUGUCAGCAACCGAUGGCGGCAACAACAUCUAAUGAGGCAGACGUUGAUGUGCAUCAUGUUCGACAUGUAGUGGAUGGCUUUGUAGCAAUUGGUGAUAAGUUGGAGAGGCUACUAAACCUGAGGAUCCUGACUGAAGAAACAGAAGCCUAUACUGUUGUUGAAAAAUGUAUGGGCCUCGCAAGAAGCUACAUUGGCCAACCAACUAUAGGUCACAGAUCGAGGCGAAGGCGUCGUACGAACAAUCAUUGAAGUUGUUUUAUUUUUGCCUUGUAUAUGUUAUUUAUAAUUUUUUGGAUAAUUUAUUUAUUUG